AAACAUAGAAUGUGACGGCAGAUAAGAACCAUUCGGCCCAUCUAGUCUGCCCAAUUUUCUAAAUACUUUCAUUAGUCCCUAGCCUUAUCUUAUAGUUAGGAUAGCCUUAUGCCUAUCCCACGCAUGCUUAAACUCCUUUACUGUGUUAACCUCUACCACUUCAGCUGGAAGGCUAUUCCAUGCAUCCACUACCCUCUCAGUAAAGUUAUACUUCCUGAUAUUAUUUUUAAACCUUUGUCCCUCUAAUUUAAGACUAUGUCCUCUUGUUGUGGUAGUUUUUCUUCUUUUAAAUAUAGUCUCCUCCUUUACGGUGUUGAUUCCCUUUAUAUAUUUAAAUGUUUCUAUCAUAUCCCCCCUGUCUCGUCUUUCCUCCAAGCUAUACAUGUUAAGAUCCUUUAACCUUUCCUGGUAAGUUUUAUCCCGCAAUCCAUGAACCAGUUUAGUAGCCCUUCUCUGAACCCUCUCUAAGGUAUCAAUAUCCUUCUGAAGAUACG